rnacentral:rRNA from 1 species
GACGAACGCUGGCGGCGUGCUUAACACAUGCAAGUCGAGCGGUAAGGCCCUUUCGGGGGUACACGAGCGGCGAACGGGUGAGUAACACGUGGGUGACCUGCCCUUAGCUCUGGGAUAAGCCUGGGAAACUGGGUCUAAUACCGGGAUAUGACUCCAUGACGCAUGUUGUGGGGUGGAAAAGCCUUGUGCGGCUAGGGAUGGGCCCGCGGCCUAUCAGCUUGUUGGUGGGGUGAUGGCCUACCAAGGCGACGACGGGUAGCCGGCCUGAGAGGGCGACCGGCCACACUGGGGACUGAGACACGGCCCAGACUCCUACGGGAGGCAGCAGUGGGGAAUCUUGCGCAAUGGGCGAAAGCCUGACGCAGCGACGCCGCGUGCGGGAGGACGGCC